GUGGCAUAUGGAAGUUUCCAGGCUAGGGGUCAAAUCAGAGCUGCAGCUGCCAGUCACAGUGGCAGCCACAGCCACAGCAAUGUGAGAUUUGAGUCAUGUCUGUGACCUACACCACAGCACAUGGCAAUGCCAGAUCCUUAACCCACUGAGUGAGGCCAGGGAUCAAGUUUGCAUCCUCAUGGCUACUAAUCAGGUUUGUAACCCACUGAGCCACAGCCUGCUCUCAUGCACAUCUGAAAUUUGAAACAAUAUCAUCUUCAUAGUCUGUCAUGUCUAAGAGUAGAAAUUAACAAAAAAUACUAUCUCCAGCCACUGAUAAGCCCCAAAGCAUCUGACAGAGAAAUAUCUAUAAUCUCUCUAAGGAAGAAGCUCUCAAGCCAGACAAGACAUGAUUCUCUCACAUAAAGACCUCCUAAAUUCUCACUAGUUUCCAUAAUAUAAAUUGAAAAUAAAACAAAUGCAACAAGAGAGAAAAUGUUUGUGCUUACAAAGGAAUGAUAAUUUGGAUAAAAUUCUUUUCAAUGGCAGCAAUAUAGCUCAGACAUGCAGAGGGUAAAUAUGUUUAACUUAGAAUUCUAUACCUAGCUAAACUAUCAUACAAGAGUGAAGUUAGAUAUUUCCAUAUAGAAAAAGGCCAAGAGAGUCAAUGACUAACAAAUCCUUCAAAAAUAGGAAGGAGUGAGGCAAUGAUAUCCUCCCCACAUGAACCCUGAAUACAUCUCUACAUACAGGGGGUUAACAGAAGGCUAAGCCAGAGUUCCCACUGUGGUGCAGUAGAUUAAGAAUCCAACUGUACUGGCUUAGGUUGCUGUGGAAGUGCAGGUUCAAUCCUCAGCCCGGUAUAGUGGGUUAAAGGAUCCCACAUUGCCCCAGCUGUGGCAUAGGUUGCAGCUCAGAUUCAAUCCCUGACCUAGGAACUUCUAUAUGCUGUGGAUGUGGCCAUGAAAAAAAGAAGACUGAUCCACCAAAUCUCUCUUAAACACCUUUUAUUAAGUAUUAUGAAGUACUUAUUAAGUAUUAUCCACCUAUCUUCAUCUUUAUGAAGAUGCAGCUAGGAUAAAACCUGGGUAAGGAAUAAUAAUAAUCUCCCACAGAACUUUCUAUUUUCUGGAGAAAAUAGCCCCCUCCAAAAAAAAUUAACCAAAGGCUAGGGAAAUGGUUCUAAAUCAUGGCUGCAUAUUAGAGUCACCUGAGAUGUUUUAUUCAUUUUUAUUUUAUUUUUUGGCCAUGCUUAGGGCUUGCAAAAUUCCCAGGCCAAAGAUAGGACCUGUGCCACAGCAGUGACAAUACCGGAACCUUAACCACUAGGUCACCAGGGAAUUCUGCGUGAGAAGCUUUAGAAGGCUACUGAUGCCUGACUGACCCCUAGAAUUUCUGAUUUAACCAAUCUGAGGUAAUUAACUUUACGUGUGUGUGUGUGUGUGCGCAUGCGCGCGCCUUUUUAUCUUAUGGAGAAAUAAGACAUCUUUACCUUAGAAAGGAAGAGUCACAGGUAAUUAGCUAAACUAUACACAGAAUCCUGACCCACAGAAAGUUGAGAUAAGGCAUGUUUACUGUUUUUACACACUCUGGUUUGGGGUUGUUACAAGACAAUAGCUAACUAACAUACCUAGUACUUGUAAUACAAGGUACUUGGCUUUAUGUAAGAAUCUGGCUUAAAAAGCAUUUGUACUCUCUGAAACCUUUGUCCAUACCUGACCAUGCUUGACAUACGAAGGAAAAAUCAUUGAUUCUGGCCCAGGAAGUCUUCCCUUGAGCCCAGCUUGGCAGCUGGUUGGCCAGGCAUCUCUUGUUUUACCACUCUCCAUUUUGUCAUCUUUUAAAAAGGGUUAAUAAUUCCUGCCCUACUUUUCUUUCCACAGCCACACCUGCAGCAUGUGGAAGUUUCCAGGGGUCAAAUCAGAGCCACAUCGGUGACCUACACCACAGCUUGCAGCAACGCUGGAUCCUUAACCCACUGAACAAGGCCAGAGAUUGAACCCACAGCCUCAUGGAGACUAGGUCGGGUUCUUAACCUGCUGAGCCACAAUGGGAACACCCCUGCCCUAUUUUUCAUAGUCACCAUAGCCACCAGUUGAAAUCACACAGAUGAAAACACUUCCAACAAGUAAAUGACUGUACAAACAUAAAAUGGAUAGUUUUAAAUAGCCAGACUCAGCCCUGCGGACAUUCUUCUCUUCUGUUCCUUUAAAUAAUCCAUUCCUUAGACCAAUCUCCACCAGGCUUUUAUAUGUAGCCUGAGAAAUAUGAUGGAUUGCGACUGUGACCACCUGGUUAGGCAAAAAGCAAUGCUGAGAUGCCACUGUUUAUGCAGAGCGUUUUCAGAGCCCUUCCCUCCUCUAGGGAGCUGGCUGUCAGACCACAUCCUGCAUGUGGAGAUGAGCACUUCCUCCCAUGAAUCAGGGUGGGGCCGAGGUGGAGGUCUUUCCUGGUGUUACUAGUACAACUGAAGCCUCUCCUCUGUUCAGUAUACAAAGAAAGUACCUCAUGACUUCCUCUAGUCUGGUCUCCAGGGUCUCAUCCUUGUCAGGAAAUACUGAAUUUAGAGAGGAAAUGUGUUUGCUAAAAUAGAAGUAAUAAUUAAGUCAUGUAAAUCAAAAUAACAAGAUAGGCUUGGGGCUUAAAAAAAAAAAAGAAAAUCCCAGUAAACCAAAUCUAAAUAUAAUCAUAUGAAUAUGCGACUAAGCUCAGUUAGUUAACAAGAAUUUUAUCAAACAACAUGUAUCCAGAUGUUUUUGUGCUGCUUAAGUGCGGCUCUGCAUUUUGUGAAGUGUCCGUAGUGAACUUGAAAUACAUUAGUGAUCAAGAAUGGAGAGGGUUCUAUUAGAAAAAGAUCCCAGUAAAUAGUAUGUAGUGUAUUUGCAAAAAGAAACAGGAUGAUAAACUUGAAACUGAUGAAUGAGUAGGAACAGGAUGGGAGGUCAGAAUGGAAGUGAGCCAUCUACAAGUAAACAUUUUUGUAUCUUUUCUGGAUCUUUGAACCAUAUAAAUGUUUUAUAUGUUAAAAAAUUAAAUCAAAAUGGAUUCUUUUAAACCUCAAAAUUGAAUACAAACAGAAAGCAAAUAAACUUAAACGCGUAUCAAGUUGAUAAAAUAACUACAAGGGCAAAAAAGAAUUAUUUCAAGUAACUUUUGAUUUUAAGGAACUUUUGAUUCUGCCUAUUCCAGAUCACUUUUCUCUCUGACAUCUGUAAUGGAAUAUAUUCUAAGGCCAAAAAGAAUGGCAAACAAAACUGAAACUUUACAGACUAAGUUUGUUGAUAGUUAUGAUACUGGUCUUUGUAGUGAGUAACUUUAGGUGUUGCCUUCACUGGAUGUGUCUGAGGGUGUUUUCAGAUGAUAUUAACAUUUGAUUGGUAGACUGGGCAAAGCAGAUGGGCUUUUCUAAUGUGAGUGGGUCUCAUCUAAUCCAUUGAGGGCCUAAAUGGAACUAAAGGUUGAUUCUUUCUCAAAUAAGAUGUGUGUGUGUGUGUGUGUGUGUGUGUGUGUGUGUGUGUGUGUGUAUGUAUAUAUAGUGUGUUUCUCUAGAGGGAACCUGACCAAUACAGUAUUAUAAUUUCUAAAACAAUUUGCAUGAAGCAAAUAAAUAAAUAUAUUGAUCUUCUUAGGAAACAAAAGUUUCUAUGUAGAAAAAAAGGGGAUGAAAAUAUACAAGAAGCUAAGAAAAAGACUUCUACUGUGA
rnacentral:lncRNA from 1 species